rnacentral:rRNA from 1 species
CCUACGGGAGGCAGCAGUAGGGAAUCUUCCACAAUGGACGAAAGUCUGAUGGAGCAACGCCGCGUGAGUGAAGAAGGGUUUCGGCUCGUAAAGCUCUGUUGGUAGUGAGGAAAGAUAGAGGUAGUAACUGGCCUUUAUUUGACGGUACUUACUUAGAAAGUCACGGCUAACUACGUGCCAGCAGCCGCGGUAAUACGUAGGUGGCAAGCGUUGUCCGGAUUUAUUGGGCGUAAAGCGAGUGCAGGCGGUUCAAUAAGUCUGAUGUGAAAGCCCUCGGCUCAACCGGAGAAUUGCAUCAGAAACUGUUGAACGGGAGUGCAGAAGAGGAGAGUGGAACUCCAUGGGUAGCGGUGGAAUGCGUAGAUAUAUGGAAGAACACCAGUGGCGAAGGCGGCUCGCUGGGCUGCAACUGACGCUGAGGCUCGAAAGCAUGGGUAGCGAACAGGAUUAGAUACCCCAGUAGUC